rnacentral:rRNA from 1 species
UACGGAGGGUGCAAGCGUUAUCCGGAUUCACUGGGUUUAAAGGGUGCGUAGGCGGGUAGGUAAGUCAGUGGUGAAAUCUUCGAGCUUAAACUCGGAAACUGCCUUUGAUACUAUCUAUUCUUGAAUAUUGUGGAGGUAAGCGGAAUAUGUCAUGUAGCGGUGAAAUGCUUAGAUAUGACAUAGAACACCAAAUUGCGAAGGCAGCUUACUACACAAUGAUUGACGCUGAGGCACGAAAGCGUGGGGGAUCAAAACAGGA